rnacentral:rRNA from 1 species
GAUGAACGCUGGCGGCGUGCCUAAUACAUGCAAGUCGAGCGAACAGACGAGGAGCUUGCUCCUCUGACGUUAGCGGCGGACGGGUGAGUAACACGUGGAUAACCUACCUAUAAGACUGGGAUAACUUCGGGAAACCGGAGCUAAUACCGGAUAAUAUAUUGAACCGCAUGGUUCAAUAGUGAAAGACGGUUUUGCUGUCACUUAUAGAUGAAUCCGCGCCUCAUUAGCUAGUUGGUAAGGUAACGGCUUACCAAGGCGACGAUGCGUAGCCGACCUGAGAGGGUGAUCGGCCACACUGGAACUGAGACACGGUCCAGACUCCUACGGGAGGCAGCAGUAGGGAAUCUUCCGCAAUGGGCGAAAGCCUGACGGAGCAACGCCGCGUGAGUGAUGAAGGUCUUCGGAUCGUAAAACUCUGUUAUUAGGGAAGAACAAAUGUGUAAGUAACUAUGCACGUCGUGACGGUACCUAAUCAGAAAGCCACGGCUAACUACGUG